GCAGCUGCAUCAAUGGUGUUUCGGACCAUUGUCAAUGAUUUCCUUCCUCCACAAGUCAUGAACUACUUCUCCUGCAAGUUAGAGAAUCUAUCUCACCAUUUCACUUCUCAGAUAACAAUUGUGAUUGAAGAAUUCAGAGGGCUUGCUGUCAACCAAGUGUUUGAAGCUGCUGAUAUCUACUUGGGAAGCAAAACUGCAGCCCCAUCGAUCCAGAGAGUUAAGUUCUUCAAUCUUUUCUU